AAGGGUUAAACUCUAGACUACUUGUUCAUUAAGGCUCUGAUACCAUAUCUAGAACCAACUAUCUCAAAAGCUUGUGAAUGGUAUUAAAGUAUCUUAACAAUGGUAUUUCCGUAUUAGUACCCCAAGUGUAUGAGAUGAUUUAGUCCCACAUCGGAGAGAUAGGAUUCUUGAGAAGAGGUUAUAAAGAGGAGGCACUCCUCACCGUAAAAUCCGGUUUUGUAAGGAUGAGUUAGGCCUUGAUAUUCAUGACAUGAGAGACCUAGUAAUUCUCCUAUUAGAUCCCUACUUAUAUCUUCUGAUGUAUUGUAGGUCUACUAUCAUUAACACGGUUUCUCUUUUCAAUGGUAAAAGUAAGGAUUAUCAUAUGCUUACUCAUGCAUACUGGAUCAUUGAUCACCUGUGCUAUAUAUGCAUGCCUCAAAAUUUUCUGAUCUAUUUUGCUGACACAUGGCUUUUUUGUCUUCAUAAUAAUUUGCAAGGAUGAUGAUUGCUAAGGAAGAACCAUUUGGCAGUGGUAUACAGGCAAGUAGGAUCCAUGAUACUAUUUUUUUAUGACAUCAACUGUUUUAAUGACAGGAACUUGAAUAAGUUCCAUUUAUUUGUUUGAGCAGACGUUAAACUUGAUGCCAGCAGUACAGAAAUUUCACAAACUCAACUCUCAGGAACUUUGUAGAUUAUUAAAGGAUGCUGGCAAUUUUCAUGUUCACUACCGUACUGGAAAAGGAGGGCUGCUGGAGGUUGAUAUGGACAAGCUUGCAAGAUACACACAAAGUCAUUAUAUCUUGAAUACGACGGCUUUUUCAAAAAAACAAAUAAAGCAAUGUGGUGCCUGGAUGCUAUCCUAGCAGUGUUUGUUUCAAAUAUUAUAGAAGGCCUGAUCGGGAUUUCUUGGGCAUAUGAGUUUUGUGACACUUCUUUCACAAUCAUUGGCUCUGGUAGAAACCUGGUUUGUUCAUUGAAUUGUUUGGAAUUAAUUUUUCAGACUAUGGUCCCACGUAUUUUGAAUUAUAUGAACCUGUUUUAGGCAGAUUAGUGUGUUGAAACAAGGUAGUUCUAUGUAAGUAUGAAGCCUUAAUUUAAUUUGAUGAACUCUACUGAUUAUAAUUUAUUUUUGUUUUAGUGUUACUCUUUCUACUAUUUUUAUUAACAUUCUUUGCAAUUUCCUCUUUUAAAUUCACUUGGAUAUUUCAUGACAGAUAAAGCUAUGAAUGUGCAACCGUGGCAGAGGUUAUUCUUCAAAAUGUUUGUUCUACCUUUGGUUUUCAAGUUUACAUGAUUCUUGAGAAUUUAUGUGCAGUGUUUAUUACUUUAAUCUUCUAGAUGAAGGCAAUUAAAAGAGUGUAAAUGGUAAAUAUUUCGUUUGGUCUUGUGUAGGACUUCAUAGGGUACCUCAUUUGAAGAACAACUGUAGGAAGUAUAUUUGUGAAAUAUAUCCACCAGUGACAAAAGCAAAUGACCAAAGCUUAUGAGGUAACUCUGCAUAGGUGUUGUGAAGUUAGAGGUGUCAUGUUGAGAUAAAAAAAUACGCAAUUUGAUAUACUAUCCAUCAUUAUUAUUUGGAUUUACUGAUUCAAAAGUUGUAUUUUUAUAAAAAUUCUAUAAUGAACUCGUAUUGUUAUCAUUUAGACUAUACUGAAGAAUCUGGUGUAUAAGUUAUUUUACUACAGAGCCAAUAAUAUAUAGAUCUUUAUUUUGCAUUAAUUUCAUAGUGUAACGCUUCCUAGAACACAUAAGAUGACAACUUAUCAGUAUUUUCUAAUGACUAAGUGAUUGACAGGUUUAAGUCUCUGCUGCAUCAAAGAAAGGUCACCCUAGACCCUACAUAUGAUUCAACUGAAAUCUUUCAACAUCGUGUCUACUUCAAUCUUCUUGCAUCAUGUCUAUGUAUAUGUAUUUGUUUUCGAAUAAUUGGGAUAUUGUUCUUAGAUUGUGUACAAACUGGUGUUGAAGUUUGUGUUUCUUCUGGUGUUGGAGUUUGUGUGUUUUAGUAUCCAGAACCUGAGUACACGAUUUUGGAAUAAUUCUUUUCCCUUCCCAAGAUGAAGAAUUUUGGACGACUUGUUCGUUUGGAGAGGUUUUCUAUAAUCUUCUUUUACUGGUUUCUAUUGUUAUUUGUGAUUUAAAUGAUGAUGUUGAUGAUGAUGAUGAUACUCGUAAAAAGAUAUCUUUGUCAUUACAGUGGCCUGGGACUCCUCUGUGACAGUAGGAAUAAGCCAAAAUCAUGUAACGCAUCAUCUGCUUUUGAGUUUUUUGUGGACAGAUAGCCAAUAAAUGUGCAGCAGGCACAGGUUCUCAUAUUUAACAUUAAACUAGUAAUUUUUUUAUUUGUGUGUAUUUGUUUCUGGAUUUGGGAUAUAAUAACUGGAUUUUGUAGCAAUAACUUGGUAUAGGGGGAACCGAGCACAAGAAUCUGCAAUAGUCUGUUGUUGUUGUACUUUCAUUUAGGGAUUGCUACUCUUCAAUGAAUUCUUCACGAUUCUUUGUCUUUUUUGAGGAUCUCUCUUGAUUCUUUCAUGAGUUCCAUUUUGGUUUCACGGGGGGAUACGUACUGUGAAAGUUGUAGUGGAGAUUAUCAUGGACGUGUUUUUGGUUUGGUGUACUGGGUGGAGAGCAUAUAUCGUCUGUAGAUACUUGAUCCAAUUGGAAAGAAAGGAGAGUUAGAUAAUUCAAAUUUCUUCAAUGAGUUGCUAUUUAUAUUUAUAUUUUUAUUUUCAGACUUUGUCAUAAGACAUACUAAUUGAAUUGUGAACUACUUUUCUGCAGCGUGGUUUGUCAAAAUAAUGUUCUUCAUGACGGUAGAGCCUUAAGUUUGAUUUGGUGAUCUCUAGUAAAUUCUUUAGUUUCAGUAUUUGUUCAUUGAUUUUGAGAGCAUAUAUGUAUUGAUUUGUUAUUUUUCUCUUUGGUUUUGCAGGAGAGGUAAUAUAAAUGCACAUAAUUCCUUCGUGUUCUAUCUUCCUCUUUUUGAUCUUUUAGUUUUUGUUUUCACACUCUUUUUUCCCUGGUUACUUUGAUUUUGAUCUUGAAGUUUUCUGUUCUUAUUUUAAUGAUCUGCAGCUACUAAUGAAUUGUUAGUUUUCACAAUAUUGAGAUAUUAUUUUAUACAUAUUGCAGCAAGCUUCUGGUUCUAUAUUCCUCAUGUUUGAUCUUCAUGUUUAAUAUUUGAUGAAACAUGUAUCUGCUUAUUGCACAUUGCAGUAUAGUGUGUUUUGAAACAAUAACUUUCUGUGUAAUAUCAAGCAAUCAGGUUUAUUGCAAUGUGAAUUAUUUUCGAUUCAUUUUCUCUGGGGUUUUAAAUUCUUUUAUUUUUCAAUAUUUCAUCGGUAUUGUUAUUCUUUUCUGGUUGAUUAUUUUGGGUUUUUACUUUUUAUGAUAUUAUUUGGUUGUUGUUGCAUUCAAUCUUGGAGUUUUCCGCUCUUAUUUUAAUGAUGAUACACUACGAUUAUAGAGUUCGUUAGGUUUUUAGUCAACUUGUUUUCUAAUUCCUCUUUUGCGUCAAAUAUUAUUCUUCGGUUGAGUUCUGAUGUGAAUUUUCUUUUUGACAGUGCAGAAGUUUACACGAUUCUGGAGAAAUUUUGACAGCUUUGUGGAGCUCUCUUUGUAAUUAUGACCUUUUGAUCAGCGACCUGGUUUGUGCAAGUACCUAGAAGUCUCUUUCUCACUGCACCUUGUUAAUUUUGUUGUGCUGCAAUUGGAGAUGAGUACCUCUGUGCUUUGUGCUACUUGUGUCCUGUGAAAUAAUUGGUCUUUAUUUUUAACUUAUGUGUUUGUUCCCAAUAAUUGGUCUUUUUUUUAACUUAUGUGUUUGUUCCCAAUAAUUGGUCUUUUUUUUUUAUUGGUGCCGAGCAGAGCGUUGUUUCCUCUGAUGCAAUGGACAGGAAGGGCUCGGUUUGUGGUUGUCAUUUUAAUUUGAUUCAUUACUCAGGAUUUUUGUUCUGUGCUUCUUUAUGAGGUAAUGUUUUUAUUGGAUUGGAUUCAUUUAUGUUGAGUAUGGUUCUUAUUCACCGAUAAGUAGACGCACACCCGAGCCUGUUUUUUAAAAGCCAUGAU